rnacentral:rRNA from 1 species
AUGGCGCCGGGGUGGCGGCACCGACGAGCUUUUUUUGCCGGCCAACAUAAUUUUUUGCUACUACCAGCUUCAAUUUUUGUUGCUACCAGCAAACCCGAAGGAGAGUAUUUUUUUUCACGAGUUCGUCGCCAGGGUGCUGCGACCGAUGACCGGCCGGAGCUGCAGGCGUCCUACCGGAGCUGCCACCACCGGCGAGGGAGCUUCAACCGCGGGCGAAGUUUGUUGCAUGCGUGGAUCCGGCGAGAAAGACAUGAGACGACGACGACGAGGCCAGCGACCGGCGGCGGGGGCGGCGAGCGCGCGGGCUGGUGCUUUGAGGCCGGUUGUCUGCUCGUCCAUGGAGGCGCGAGCGUGGAGGAGCAUUAG